rnacentral:lncRNA from 1 species
UUUUUUUCUUUCCUUAACCGCCGCCGCCCCGAGCGUUUUUUUCUUACUAGGCCGAAUCCCACUCCGAGGGAUCCCCAGAUCCCUUAAUAUCGGCCACCCCUCCCCCUGCCUUUUCCCUCCCUCCUCCUGACCGACCAGUGGGCUCCCACCCGAACUCUCUCCUCCCCACGUUGUCACCUUCCUCUCCCCUCGUCUCCUUCCUUUUCUUCUGCACCCGAGAAACAGCGAUUCCCUCCUCGAUUUUAUUCUCCCUCUCCUUCCUUAAGCCCC